rnacentral:rRNA from 1 species
CCGUGUAACAUCGAGUCUUUGAACGCAAGUUGCGCCCGAUGCCAUUAGGUUGAGGGCACGUCUGCCUGAGUGUCACAUAUCGAAGCCUCCUUGACUAUUUUGCAGGGUGGAUGUUGGCCUCCCGUGAGCUCUUUUGUCUCAUGGUUGGUUGAAAAUUGAGACCUUGGUAGGGUGUGCCAUGAUAGAUGGUGGUUGUGUGACCCACGAGACCAAUCAUGCGCUUCUCUAUUGAAUUUGGCCUCUUUUACCCAUAUGCGUUUCUAAACGCUCGUGAUGAGACCUCAGGUCAGGCGGGACUACCCGCUGAAUUUAAGCAUAUCAAUAAGCGGAGGAAAAGAAACUAACAAGGAUUCCCUUAGUAACGGCGAGCGAACCGGGAUAAGCCCACCAUGAGAAUCGGUCGCCCUCGGCGUUCGAAUUGUAUCGAAAAAAAAACCGUCAAAUGG